rnacentral:rRNA from 1 species
UGAGUAGGCGGAUGUGAAAGUCUUUGGUGUAAGUGCAGUGCUUAACGCUGUGAUGCUAAAGAAACUUCAUGUCUAGAAUCAGAUAGAGGCAAGUGGAAUUCCAUGUGUAGCGGUAAAAUGCGUAAAUAUAUGGAGGAACACCAGUGGCGAAGGCGGCUUGCUGGGUCUGGAUUGACGCUGAGGCACGAAAGCGUGGGGAGCAAACAGGAUUAGAUACCCUGGUAGUCCACGCCGUAAACGAUGAGUACUAAGUGUUGGAGAAAUUCAGUGCUGUAGUUAACGCAAUAAGUACUCCGCCUGAGUAGUACGUACGCAAGUAUGAA